UCGCACCACGAGGCGCUGUCU
rnacentral:siRNA from 1 species